rnacentral:rRNA from 1 species
UACGGAGGGUGCGAGCGUUGUCCGGAAUCACUGCGCGUAAAGGGCGCGUAGGUGGCGCGGGCAGUCAACGGUGAAAGUUCGGGGCUCAACCCUGAAUCGGCCGUCGAUACUCCCGGGCUUGAGCACUGUAGAGGCUAAUGGAAUUCCGGGUGUAGCGGUGGAAUGCGUAGAGAUCCGGAAGAACACCGGUGGCGAAGGCGGUUAGCUGGGCAGUUGCUGACACUGAGGCGCGACAGCGUGGGGAGCAAACAGG